rnacentral:lncRNA from 1 species
GAGUUGUUCAGUGUUAUUCAGAGGGAGUCACAUUGGCAUGAGCAAAGUGGAACCCAUUUCUUCACUGAUCGGCAUGGAUGGUACUCUUUUUAUCAACUCUUGCCAAGGCCGUAGUUCGCACUUCAGAGGAAGCCCUGGGUUGACGCCGCGUGAAGUCUGAGCUGAGCUGAGCAGAUCUGAAGCCACCGCGGGAGGCUCAGGAUCCAGAUCACCAACCUGCCUGCUUCUCGGAGACUGAAAUGGGAGCACACGGCAGCCUGCCUCACCCCUUGCUCACUCCACAUCUCCUGGUAUUUUCUUCCCUGUCCCCUUAAUUUCAAGUUGCUAGCUGUAAUC